GUUUAUGUAGUUUAAAUAAAACGUUGGGUUUUCUCCCCAAAAAUCCCUAGCGAGGGCAUAAAUU
rnacentral:tRNA from 1 species